rnacentral:rRNA from 1 species
AAAUUGAAGAGUUUGAUCAUGGCUCAGAUUGAACGCUGGCGGCAGGCCUAACACAUGCAAGUCGAACGGUAACAGGGAUCAGCUUGCUGAUUCGCUGACGAGUGGCGGACGGGUGAGUAAUGUCUGGGAAACUGCCUGAUGGAGGGGGAUAACUACUGGAAACGGUAGCUAAUACCGCAUAACGUCGCAAGACCAAAGAGGGGGACCUUCGGGCCUCUUGCCAUCGGAUGUGCCCAGAUGGGAUUAGCUAGUAGGUGGGGUAACGGCUCACCUAGGCGACGAUCCCUAGCUGGUCUGAGAGGAUGACCAGCCACACUGGAACUGAGACACGGUCCAGACUCCUACGGGAGGCAGCAGUGGGGAAUGUUGCACAAUGGGCGCAAGCCUGAUGCAGCCAUGCCGCGUGUAUGAAGAAGGCCUUCGGGUUGUAAAGUACUUUCAGCGGGGAGGAAGGGAGUAAAGUUAAUACCUUU